UUGCAUUCUUAAACCCUCUUGGCGGCUUCGCUCUGGUGCUUCCAAGAUAUGAGUGAAUGCUAGAGAAAUUGCGGGGGAGUCCAAAGGGCUGCGCUCCUCACGUGGUUCAGUCUUAUUUCAUACCUGCGACAUCU
ensembl:snoRNA Gm26397 small nucleolar RNA SNORA14